rnacentral:lncRNA from 1 species
CCAAGCUACAAUCCUGAUCUUUUUUUUAAACUUAGCAACUUUUUAAAGAUUGCUUUUAUUUGAGGCUUUAAUCUCUCUUUCUAAAAUUGGGAGGAACUGUAAUAAAAUACAUUUUUGCUCACGUGAUCUUUUCCCAUCUUAGGUUAUUCCUCCAGAAUGUCAAACUCUCUCCUAAGACCACAGCUACCUCCACAGUUCAAGCCCUGGGCAACUGAUGAGCCUCCAUGUGGUCUUUCCAUGUCGACUCUUGUUCUUCUUAGCCUUUCUUCAUACUGCAGCUAGAGGGGUCUUUUUAAAAAAUCUGAUCAGUUCUCAUCCCACUGAAAACUCUUCUGUUGCUCUUAAGAAAGAUUCUCUCUCUUUAACAUAGAUAAGUGUUCUUCAAAUCUCAGAGAAUUAUUAUUCUUUGAAAAAUUGUUAAAACUUGCCGGUGACAUCAUCUUGAAAAGUAAGUAGUUCUGUAUGUUCCCCCCAUUCCUUAUUUUCUUUUACAUUUGCAGAUUUUCUUCCUUCUUUCUGAAUUUAGCAAGCAUGUUUUCACUUAUAUAUAGAAUCUUGCAUUUCUAUAGGUUAUAUAAAUCUUUGUAUUAAUUUGGUGUUAACUUGUAUUAACUUAAUAAAUCAUCUGACCACUUGUUCCUAAGCUUCAAUGAUGCUGACACCUCAUCCAAGCCUUGCCUGCUCUUUGUUGCAUCAGGGUAGAUGCUUGCCUUCUGUUCUGGAACCCUCUUUCCCGUACUUCCUUCUGUCACCAAUUAUAAAUCAUCAUGUUGAGUUUAAGUACACCUCUUCAUUAGUAUGGGGAGCCCAUGAUAACCACUCAGCGGUGUGAGAUUUAUUUUUAAUGAGUAGUGUAUGGUAGCAAUCAAAGUUACACUUUUAUCUUUUGUAUUUGUCCAUAUGGGAAGCCAGUCUUGGAGCACUGUGGAUAGAGCAGCCCACCUCCUCUCCCUAUGCAGACAUCCUUCCCAUGUUUCUUCAUUCUGGUAUGUGCCUAAGUCUGCACCUAUGUUUUCCAUUCUCUUUUACUCGAUUUUUAAAUCUACUCUUGCACCAUUACUGCACUGAGUUAAUUACCAUACAACUUUAUAAUCAAUCUUUGUAUCUUACAAGGAGAGUCCCUGUCAGCCCUUACUAAUUCAUCUUCAGAUUUAUCUUUGCUAUUCUUGGCCCUUGAUAUUCAUUAGACUUCUA